rfam:Haemonchus placei strain MHpl1 genome assembly, scaffold: HPLM_scaffold0003806
GGCCCAAAUUUGAAGUAGAGUAGAUUAGAAGGAUCAUCUGACCCUACUGAACUAAACUACUUUGAGUUUGGGCCU